AAAAAAAUGUUCUGAAAACCGGUUCGAACCGGACGGUCGAACCGGUCGAACCGCAAACCGCUAUCAAUUACGGUUCGGACAGAAGGCAAAACUGGCAAAUUUGAAAACCGCCAUUGGACCGUUGAACUGGCCGAGAACCGGUCGGUCGAACCGAACCGUGACCCGGCCGGUUUUUGAAUCUUAACAAAAACGCAGCGUUUUGUUGUGCAGGGAUGGCAACCCUAAGUUCCCUAACCCCUCUUCCUUCUAGUCUCCAGCCUCCACAACGCGAAGCAGCAGUCCAGAGUCCAGACUCUAGCAAUUCGUCUCAACCUCAUCGAAGCCACCGGCGUAUGUCCAUCCAGCCACCACCGCCGUCCCAACUUCGAGCUUCGAAGGCAACGGCGCAACGUCCGUCCAGCCACCACCGUUUGAGCUUCGAAAAUCGAAGCCACCGUCGCCGGUCUCGUCUCUUGCCUCCGUCGCGCAGCCACUUCCCGCCGGUGCCAGCUCUGUUCCACACCACCACGUCGGCCACUGUCUUCCCAGCCAUCGUCCCCGGCCACUUCCACACCCUCGCCAGCUCUUCCCUGUUCCAGCCUUCCAGGAUCCAGCUUCUAGCCUAGCUGUCAUUGGAGCCAUUCACACAACCACUUUGGCCAAGCUCUCUGCUAAAAGGCAAGAAGUUCUUUCUCCAGCAGGCAACAUUGUUGAACAGGUCAAUAAUACACCCAAGUAUUAAUCUUGGGAGCUUCUUUUAACUUUUUUUCAUCUGGGGUGGUGUUGUGAUUGUUUGAUUGAAUCAUUGAAUAACUGUUGCAUGUCUCUGUCUCCUGAUGAGUUUGAUUGAGUAGCUCUUUGAUUUUGUGACAUGAUGAACUCUGAAACUGUGAACUCUGAACUGAUCCUGCUAAACUGAACUGGAUUUUGUGACAUGAUAAACUGAUAUAGUUUGUCAUUUAUUUUCUUUUAAAUUAGUUCUUAUAGUUUGGCUUUUGACAUGAUUAAGAAAGAUCCAUUUUGGUAUAUUAGGGAACUGGAUAAUAUAAAGAUAAAGAGUGCUAUAAGAUGUUUCAAGAUUUUGAGUUAAUAUACCAAUGAAUUAUCAACUCAAUCUGCUAGAGACGCUAGGGCAACUCUUUGGGCCUAAUACAACUAUCUUUUUGGCUGGCGAGCUUCGAAAUGAUGCCAUUCUUGAGUACUUCCUAGAAGCUGCAGUGAACAAUUUCAGAAUUGGUCGCAUUGAUCAAAAUCUGUGGCAUCCUGAUUAUCGCAGCAACCGAGUUGUUCUUUAUGUUCUUGUGAAGAAAUGAAGGUUUCAGAAUUAAUGAAACUAUGUUACUUUAUAGUUUAUACUCUACUAGAGUGUGACCCUCCUACGCUAGGAUUCAUUGUAAAAGUUAUUCUCCUUCCAUGUAUUAUUUUUUGAUAUCAUGCUCAUUUUGAGAAGCCUAACAAUUUUGUUUUGACAGAUAAAAGUGGACUAUGAUCUGUGAACCAUUUUCAGUGAAUUCAUUCACAACCACUGUUAAGAAGACACAAUUUUUUAAUGCUUGAUGGAACAACUAAAACUCCAAUUCUUGCUUGGUUAUCAUCAAAGGAUAAUCUCUGAAUCCAAAAUAUUUAAUAUAGAACAAAGGCUACUUAAA